CAAUAGCGUAUAUUUAAGUUGCUGCAGUUAAAAAGCUCGUAGUUGGAUUUCGGGUGGGAAUGGCCGGUCCGCCGUUUCGGUGUGCACUUGCUACGCCCACCUUGCUGCCGGGGACGUGCUCUUGAGUUCACGCUCGGGACACGGAGUCGGCGAGGUUACUUUGAGUAAAUUAGAGUGUUCAAAGCAGGCCUACGCUCUGAAUACAUUAGCAUGGAAUAACACGAUAGGACUCUGGCCUAUCUUGUUGGGCUGUAGGACCGGAGUAAUGAUUAAGAGGGACAGUCGGGGGCAUUCGUAUUUCAUUGUCAGAGGUGAAAUUCUUGGAUUUAUGAAAGACGAACUACUGCGAAAGCAUUUGCCAAGGAUGUUUUCAUUAA
rnacentral:rRNA from 1 species